rnacentral:rRNA from 1 species
GAUGAACGCUGGCGGCGUGCCUAAUACAUGCAAGUCGAGCGAACGGACGAGAAGCUUGCGUCUCUGAUGUUAGCGGCGGACGGGUGAGUAACACGUGGAUAACCUACCUAUAAGACUGGGAUAACUUCGGGAAACCGGAGCUAAUACCGGCUAAUAUUUUGAACCGCAUGGUUCAAAAGUGAAAGACGGUCUUGCUGUCACUAAUAGAUGGAUCCGCGCUGCAUUAGCUAGUUGGUAAGGUAACGGCUUACCAAGGCAACGAUGCAUAGCCGACCUGAGAGGGUGAUCGGCCACACUGGAACUGAGACACGGUCCAGACUCCUACGGGAGGCAGCAGUAGGGAAUCUUCCGCAAUGGGCGAAAGCCUGACGGAGCAACGCCGCGUGAGUGAUGAAGGUCUUCGGAUCGUAAAGCUCUUUUAUUAGGGAAGAACAGAUGUGUAAGUAACUGUGCACAUCUUGACGGUACCUAAUCAGAAAGCCACGGCUAACUACGUG